rnacentral:rRNA from 1 species
CGUAGGUGGCAAGCGUUAUCCGGAAUUAUUGGGCGUAAAGCGCGCGCAGGCGGUCCUUUAAGUCUGAUGUGAAAGCCCACGGCUCAACCGUGGAGGGUCAUUGGAAACUGGGGGACUUGAGUGCAGAAGAGGAGAGCGGAAUUCCACGUGUAGCGGUGAAAUGCGUAGAGAUGUGGAGGAACACCAGUGGCGAAGGCGGCUCUCUGGUCUGUAACUGACGCUGAGGCGCGAAAGCGUGGGAGCGAACAGGAUU